AUGAUACUAAGUCUGACUGUUAAAAAAUAUUCCCCUUUUUGUAUUUCCAGGAGACAGCAGUAUGUGGGGAAGACACUCUUUGCCCACUUUGAGUCGAAUACACAGUCAUCUAAAAAGCUGUUUGUCGCCACCGACAAGAAUAUCUUUGCCUCUUUCAACUCCAGGACUGGAGAUCUCUUUUGGAGACAUGUGGACAAGACCGGACCAGAGGGAACCAUAGACACACUUCUGCUACAUGGACAAGAUGCUCUGAUGGUGGUUGGAGAUGGUCGUUUGCUCCGUUCCUGGGACACAAACAUUGGCGGGCUGAACUGGGAGGCCGUGCUGGAUACUGGCAGCUUCCAGGCUGCGUGUUUUGUGGCCAUACAGGACACCGUAAAGCAUGUGGCAGUGCUAAAGAAAGCUGCCAUCUCUCUCCACUACUUGUCCAAUGGACACCAGAAAUGGGUCGAGAACCUGCCUGACAGUGAUGCAGUCCAAUACCAGGCAGUGUACUCUGGGGGAGAAGAGGAGGUUUAUGUGUUGGGGUUGGUUCCUAACUCUCACCUCACUAUCAUAGCCUACAGUCUAGAGGAUGGAGAGAUCAUCAAGCAGAGAUCAGUCGAAGCCCCGUGGCUGUCCAGUGUUGAGUCUAGCUGUGUGGUGGUUGGUCACGGGUUACUGAUGUGUGUGGACCCUGCCACAUUCGCCCUCUACACCCUCCCUAUACAGGCUGAGGAUACUCCAGAGUUUAGCCAGAUCCUACUACAGUCUCUGGAUCUAGAGGUGUCCCCAGGCUUCCAGCCCGUCCUGGUGUCCAGCCAGCCCCACCCGGCUCGCUCCCCCCUCUCAGAGUUCUUUCUCCAGCUUGGACCAGACCACCACGUCCUGCUGCAGCUCAAUGCUGAUGGAUACACCAUCGCCCCACUCAGAGACUUCCAGCCCGCGUUCUUAGUCUCAUUUGCCACCACAGGAGAGAAGACUGUUGCUGCCGUCAUGACUCCCAAAAACGAAACUGCUUGUGCUGUCAACCUGUUCAGCGUUGACUCUGGUCGCAGGUUGUUGGAUACCACUGUCAUCUUUCCCCUGGAUCUGAACGGUGGGAAACCACACAAGCUGUACGUCCAUGCCUUCCUGAAGAAGGACGACUCUGUGGGCUACAGGGUCCUAGUGCAGACAGAGGACCACGCUCUCACCUUUAUACAGCAGCCAGGACGUGUGGUAUGGACCAGAGAGGAGGCCCUGGCUGAUGUUGUUACCAUGGAGAUGGUGGACCUGCCGCUCACUGGGACACAGGCGGAGCUGGAGGGGGAGUUUGGCAAGAAAGCUGCCAUUCAAGACGGCUUAUUCCCCAUGGUGCUGAAGCGUCUGUCAUCCCAGGUGACUCUGCUCCAGGUGUGGCUGGCACACCUGUGGAAGUUGUUCUCACGAAGCCCGUAAACCCCGCAGCCAGGUUAAGAACGAGGUCACCAUAGAAACGUUGUCCAGGGAUGAGUUCAACCUGCAGAAGAUGAUGGUGAUGGUCACGGCCUCGGGAAGAUGGCAGAAGGUGAUCCUCAUGGUCACGGCCUCGGGGAAGCUCUUUGGCAUCGACAGCAAGUCAGGCUCUAUUCUGUGGAAGCACUACCUGGAGAAUGUCCAGCCCAACGCAGCCUUCAAACUGGUAGUCCAGAGGACCACCGCUCACUUCCCCCAUCCCCCACAAUGCACUCUGCUCAUCAAGGAUAAGGACACUGGCCUGGCCACCCUGCAUGUGUUCAACCCCAUAUUUGGCAGGAAGAGCCACAUCGCCCUGCCGGCCCUGCCCCGCCCCAUCCUCCAGUCACUACUACUACCUGUUAUAGACCAGGACUACGCCAAAGUCCUGCUGCUGGUCGAUGACCAAUACAAGGUGACAGCCUUCCCCUCUACGAAAAACGUCCUGCAGCAGCUCCAGGAGAUGGCCUCCUCGAUCUUCUUCUACCUGGUCCAUUCAGAGCACGGAAACCUGUCUGGAUUCAGACUGCGCAAGGACUUGUCCACAGAGCGAAUCUGGGAGGUGGUCCUACCUACAGAGGUCCAGAAGAUAGUAGCUGUCAAAGGGAAGAGGCCCAACGAACAUGUCCACUCUCAGGGCAGAGUGAUGGGAGACCGCAGUGUUCUCUACAAGUACCUAAACCCUAACCUGCUGGCAGUGGUGACGGAGAGUACAGACGCCCACCCUGAGCGGGCCUUCGUGGGCGUGUUCCUGGUCGACGGUGUGACUGGACGCAUCAUCCAUGAAGCCGUCCAGAGAAAGGCCAGGGGACCCGUCCACUUUGUCCACUCUGAGAACUGGGUGGUGUAUGAGUACUGGAACACCAAGUCCAGGCGUAAUGAGUUCAGUGUGCUGGAGCUGUUUGAAGGGACAGAGCUGUAUAACAGCACAGUGUUCAGUAGUCUGGACAGACCCCACCUGCCCCAGGUCCUACAGCAGACCUACAUCUUCCCCUCUCCCAUCACCACCAUGGAGGCUACGCUCACUGAGAAGGGCAUCACCUCCAGACAUCUCCUCGUGGGUUUACCAUCAGGAGCCAUCUUGUCUCUCCCCAAGAUGUUCCUUGAUCCACGGAGACCAGAGGUCGUCACUGAGCACAGCCGUGAGGAGAACCUUAUACCCUACGCCCCAGAGAUGCCCAUCCGCACAGAGUGGUUCAUCAACUACAAUCAGACCGUAUUGAGAGUGAAAGGAAUCUACACUGCCCCCUCUGGCCUGGAGUCCACAUGUCUGGUGGUUGCGUACGGUCUUGACAUCUACCAAACCAGAGUGUACCCCUCCAAGCAGUUCGACGUGCUGAAAGAUGACUACGACUACGUCCUGAUCAGCAGUGUUCUGUUCGCUCUGUUCUUCGCCACCAUGAUUAGUAAACGCCUGGCACAGGUCAAACUGCUCAACCGGGCCUGGCGGUGAAGAGUCAACUUCUCACCUUUCAACUCUGAUCUCUCCGUUGCUGCAUGGAUGACACCGGGACAAUGGUGGUGGACGAGCUGAAGCCGUUUUGGUGGGGGGGGGGGUCGUCAUCUUUCUUUUUCAAGAAAGAGAUUAAUUUCGGGUUGCAAGAUUUUCCAUAACAUUUUUUGAUUGUUUAAUUUAUUUGGUAAGACUUUACAUUGAGGUAGAAUUUAAGGGGAGUUGCAUUCAGAAAGUAUUCCUACCCCUUGACUUAUUCCACAUUGUUGUUACAGCAUGAAUUAAAAAUGGAUUUGAUUCCCCCCCUUCACCCAGCUACACACAAUACCCCAUAAUGAAAGUGAAAACAUGUUUUUAGAAAUGUUCGUACAUUUAUUGAAAAUUAAAUACAGAUUUAAUUUACGUAAGUAUUCACACCCCUGAGUCAAUACCCCUGGUAUUCACACCCCUGGUCCCGUGUGGCUCAGUUGGUAGAACAUGGUGUUUGCAACGCCAGGGUUGUGGGUUCGAUUUCCACGGGGGACCAGUACGGAGCAAAAAAAAAAUGGUAAGUCGCUCUGGAUAAGAGCGUCUGCUAAAUGACAAAUGUAAAUGCAAUACUUUUGUAGAAGCACCUUUGGUGGAGAUUACAGAUUUCAGUUGUCUUGGGUAUGUCGGUAUCAGCUUUGCACAUCUGGAUUUAAGGAUUUUCUCCCAUUCUUCCUUGCAGAUUUUUUUUCAAGCUCUGUUAAGUUAGAUGGGGAGCAGCGGUGAACAGCAAUCUUCAAGUCUUUUUCCAGAUGAGCUGUGCCUGGUUUUCUCCAGACGUAGCACGUUGCAUUCAGGCCAAAGAGUUAGAUUUUCAUCUCAUCAGACCACAAUAUUUUUAGAUAUGCUCUUUCACAUGCAUUUUUUAGCCAUUUUUCGGGCGUGCUGUCAUGUGGCUUUUUCCUCAGGAGUGGCUUCCAUCUGAUCACUCUCCCAUAAAGCCCAGAUUAGUGAAGUGCUAUAGAGACUGUUGUCCUUCCGGCAGGUUCUCCGAUCUCAGCCAAGGAACUUUAUAGUUCUGUCAGAGUGGUCAUUGGGCUCUUUGUCACCUCCCUGAUCAAGGUCAUUUUUGCCCAGUUGUUCAGUUUGGUCGGAUGGCCAUCUCUAGGCAGAGUGGGUAGUUCCAUAUUUUUUCAAUUUCCCAAUGAUGGAGACCUCUGUACUCUUGGAAACUUUCAACAAUCUAGAAAUUGUGUACCCUUCCCCCAGAUAUGACUCAUCCCAAUUCUAUCUCAGUGAUCUACAGACAGUUCCUUGGAAUUCAUGGUAUAGUUUCUGUUCUGACGUGUGCUGUCAACUGUGGGACCAUAUAUAGACAGGUGUGUUUCUUUCUAAAUCCUGUCAAAACAAUUGAAUUGGCCACUGGUGGACUCCAAUCAUGUUGUAGUGACAUCUCAAGGAUGAUCAAAGGAAAUUGGAUGAACCUGAGCUCAAUUAGGAGUGUCAUAGCAAAGGGGUGUGAAUACUUAUGUAAAUGAGAUUACUGUAUUUAAUUGUCAAUAAAUUUGCAUUAAAUUCUUAACAUGUUUUUACUGUCAUGUGUUUAAUCCAUUUUGAAUUCAGGCUGUAACACAACAAAUUGUAGAAUAAGUCAAGUGGUAUGAAUACUUUCUGAAGGCACUGUAUGUCAUUGCUAUUAACAAAUAAUGAACUGUCUACACCCUUUAUAACCUUCCUUUUAAGAUAGCAAUGUAAAGUGCUUUUCAUGAUCUCACUUCAUGCAAUGAAAUGUUAUUUUUACCACAACGAAAGAGCAGUUAAGUGGUUACUUGGUGCAUUUCAAAGCAGGUGUUCUUAUACUGAAACAUGAUUUAGCUCUGAAAGAUGACUAAAACGUCUUUUAAGAUUACUAAAUGCGGUACAGAUUUCGAUGAGAUUUUGAUAAUUUUGGUUUAUUUUGUUUGUAAUGUUUCAUUUUUAUGUGCUAUAUUUAUGUCUUAAACAUGGAUUAGCAUGGCGCUCUAGAAUAUACAUUUUUCCUUUUUGGGGUGAAUGGACAACUCUGCUCAUGCAACACUUUAACAAAAACGCCAAUGCCCUCAAUAAAAUGAUUCCUAUUUCUGAAA